GGCGCGUUGGCUCGUUGAGUGCGGUUGUGUUUUUUUGGCCGCGUUGCGAUCGAGAAAAGUGAUCUUAACUUAUUCUAUAUGGUGAUGAUAAUCACUCGAUAUAUGAAAGGAAUUUAUCUUUAAUUAUACAAGUUAUCCAAAAUGUGUUGUGACUUUUGUGAUUUGUGAUUUUUAUAAACUGUUUCAAAAUACAAUUUUGAACCAAUAAAAUUAAAAAAAAGAACAUUAUUAGCAUUGAAAGAUGCAUCAGUGAUCAAGAAUUAUUUUAAACAUUUUACUUUUCUUUUUAACACUCGUGAUCAUACAAACACUAAAACUGAAAUAAUGAUUUUAUUUCAAAAUUUUCCCUAAUGACAUCAAAUUAUGUUUCGUCUAACUCUUAUUAAAAUUCGAACUUUACAAAAUUGCCUUCGUGUUAACUUGCAGUUAUUUUCUUAAUGUCAGAUUAGAGUGUGCUUUUGAAAAUACAAUGUAAACUUUUCUUAACAGAGGGAUUCUGUUUUUGAAAAUGUAUAAAAAAUUAAAACAGAUUAUUACGCUCAAAAACUCUCUUAAAAUGGACUUCUUUUCGAUUACAUUUUUUUAAAAUGUUAGUGACUUCGGUAAUUCACAAAUUGAACGAAGUUAACAUUUAAAAAAAAAAUACUCAUAAAGAACAACUUCAAAGUGGUCAUAUUUCUUGAAGUAUCUGAUAUACUGCUUUCAUAAAAUAUUAAAAAUUGAUAUCUUCAAAGUUACCAAGAAUUUCAAUGUAAUUAUUUUGCCAAACUUUACAUGAACACUUUAGAACAGUUUCCAUUAUUUUUUGGGUCACUCUCUUACCUUAAUAGUGAUAUUUUAUGAAUUCGAAAAUGCUCUGCUUCUUGAGUUUCCUAAGCCUCACAAUCCAUCAGAAAAAUAUUUCUCAAUUCGAGUGUCAUUUUCUGUAAUAAAUCAUCGUAGGUUGUUCAAGUUCACCGCGAUGUCACAAUGUUAAUCCACGGAUAUGCCCAGCGAAUCUAAGUAUUUUUUGUAUUUUUGAAAUGGGGAUCUAUGAACACAACCGCACCGACACGCGUCGCGUUAAGGAAUGAUUUCGCCUGCGACUCCAAUAAGAUACUUUGGCUGUGGUCCUCGAGUUUCGAGACUUCGACUUUCUUAUCGCACGCACACGAAUUGGAGUAAUCGCGAGGCGUCGGCGUCAGGAAUUCAAGGGGGAUUCACCGGGGGUGUUCCAAGGACCGAAGACCGAUGACCGAAGAACGAAGACUUGCCGGGCGUAAGGCCCGCCAGCUACUGCCCACAGAACUUCUGGCUGGCAUUUGUUUUUGUGGUCCGCUCACACACACACACACAAGCAUGGCGAAACGCAACUCACAUACACCCUCAUAGGCGUUACCCAUACAGUCGCACAACUGGAAGUCCAUAUUGCCACCCCCAAAAAUACUAUGGUAUUGAGGGAGAAACGUCAAGUGUGUGACGCUGGCAGCGCUGCUUUUUUUGCCCAAUUUACAGCGCAGUCGCACUUGCAAUCAUUUCUCUCUCCGCAGAGACCCCUUAUAGCCCUCUCUUUUUGCCCGAACAACCCCUCUCUUUCUACCCUCAGGUGUUGGGCCUUUCUCCUUCACAAAAAAUGCAAAGAAAAAAAAAGAAGUGAAAAAACAGUCUAGUAAAACUGGAGAAAAGAGAAAACUUCCAGGCAGCACACGUACCCCUUAGACGAAGUACUCACCACGCUUUCGAAACCUUUUCUGGCCAUUUGUUGAGCGGGCUUUAAGGGCAGUACUAGCCACGUUAUCAGCCAAAUGCCAGCCACGCAUUUUGUCAAAUUCAAAGGCAAACAAGGCGAAGGCAGCCGGGUAUGAGGAGCAAAAUAACAAAAAAAAAAAAAGAAAAUAUAUCUAAAAUGGGAACUGGGGGCCUGCUAAACUGAGCAGCGACUGAAGUAGAAAUGCUUAUACGCUGGGGAUUUGAGCUUUACAAGCGUAACAAAAUAUGUAAAAAGAAAUAAAGAAAAGCCGCGGCAUGAGAGGUUCUCAACCCCCAGGAUAAGAAAGGAAUUCCUCCUCCCACCGCCAGAAACCCUCAGAUAUAGAUGCGUUGUAUCUGUAUCUGAGCGUGCAGGUUGGCGUGUAUCUAUGAAGUUCCUUCCGUUCGCCGCCCGAUGAAUGAUAGAUGGAUUAUGAUUUUGUUUGGCGUAAAUUGAAUUUUACCGCCUCGCACAGCCCUCGACCCCCACGCCCUUUGUUGCCAAAUAUUUAAACUUUAAACACGCUCCGAUCGCUUGAAGCUGUCAACUUUUUUUUGCGACUGCAUUCAUUUGGCGGCGGAAAUCAAGUUAACGAAGUAAAAAUACAAAAUGCAGCAGCAACAUGCCAACAACAAUCGCCAACAAGGAAAUGUCCUCGGGUAAAUGGCAGUGGCUUGAUGAUGGGGUUACCCUUUUCACUAUUUUAUAGAUAAGGGGAGACACACGGAUUCGUGGCGCUGAAUCGAUAAUGGAGCUUCUGCACAACCAAUAAAUAAACAAACCAAUCGAAUCGGGUUGCCAAAGAGUUGGAGAAGUUUAAAGAAGUGCUUGAUAUGUAAGAGCUGUAAAUCACACGAAGGAUAAAUCCAAAUGAAGAAUCAUAAAGCGAGAUUUGAAGAUGAACUGACCUCUAUUUCAAUUUAAGACGGUUGCCUAUGUAAAUUAAUAAAAAAUCUAUUUAAAGAGCUGUAAAUUCUCGUUAAAAAUUCUCAGUUCUUUCCGUUUUAUUGACAAUUUAGAAACUAACAGAAAUGCAAUAAAUUAAAUUCCACAAAUUUUGAAUGUUAUUCUGCAGUGUUACUCGAAUUAAGCCAAUUUCCAUAAAUAACAAAUUUAUUUUAUAUACUUUUUGGAGCUUGGCUUAAAGUUUAAUAUGUAGCACUUUGGAUUUUAACAUUACAUUUUCAGCUAUAUCUAUUUAUGCAGAAUAUUAAAAUUCAUCGGAGUAUUUAUGAAGUUAUUUAAAAUUUUUUCAAUUUCCUAUUGGUAAAAACAUAAAGUUUUAAUACUAUUUAUUGGCAUUCCAGUUUGAAAUUCCUUCUCGAUUGCAACUUAUCUCCCGAAUGCAUUUGUUUGUUUUAUUUACAGAAAUUUUCACUUUAAGCUAAUCCAAAUUGCAUUCCGGGGCAAAUAUUUCCCCAUCUCCACUGGCUGCUCCUCAAUUCUGUGCACAUUUUUAUAGAUUUUAUGUUAGUUGGAUUUUUACUUCGCUUUUUUUAUGAGCCACAAGCUGUAAGUAGUAGUACUCGAGAUAUUGUUGUUGUUGCUGCUGCUGCUGCUGCUGCUUCUGCUGUCGGGCUGUAUGCAACAUAUUUUCAUGGAUCAGCUGCAACUUCAAUUCAAAGGGAUGCCAGAGGCGGUGGCAAAGGGGGGCUUGAAAAUUCUGCGGGAACGUAGAGAGCUGGGCUUUUGGAUGGCUGUGAUUUUCUCGAGCCAUGUCUGUCAGCCUCGGCUGCCAUGCCAUGCUUAUUGCCAAAGCUUUUGUUAUGCCGUCUCACACAAACUCGCAUCCAACUAUGGUACUAUGUUAUAUAAAAGUUGAAAUCCGCUCGGAUGUGUUUUUUUACCAACUGUUUGUGUGUGUAUGUGUGUGUGUGUGGGUAUAGUUACCGACUUUUAUAAGCAGCAAAUUUUUAUUUCCCCCAUACUUUUGCUUACCACUCGCAUGCGUCAUAACUCAAUAACCAGCUUAAAAAGGGGGUUGAGGCUUCUCAGGGGGGUUGGCAAAACUGUAAGCUAACUGUAAUCCUAAUGAAACUACAACACACACACACUCGCAAGUUCUCUGCAUUUACAUGCAACAAUUUGGCAAAAAAAAAAAGGAAAGAGAAAAAAUAGGAUGGCAAAAGUUUCCUUCUUCCCAUUGAAUCCCUUUCGCUUCUCGUCAUCCACAACUCGCCUGCCCGUACUGGAAUUUAUUAUAAGAUCCCUUUCUUCAUAUAUGAAUGCGAGAAACUUGUAGUUGCCGCCCAUGUUGUUGUUGUUGGUUGUUGCUGUUGCAUGUUGCUGCUGUUGUGAUGGCAGCAACAUGAAUAUUUCGACAACAUCAAAAAGGCAUUUCGAGCUAUUUGGCUUUCGCAAAAUAUUUUUUAUUAUAAUUUCCCUAGUUAACUGGUGCAUGUGUGGGUUUCAACAGCAGGGGAUAACAAUGAAAUUACCUACAUUUUAUUCAGUUAUGUGCCUUAUUUCAAUUUGGUUUCUACACGUUUGCCAUAACAAUGCGAUAUUUCUAAAUUACAAUAAUUUUUUUAAUUUACGAUUUUUCUUGAUUAUUUCCUAAAAUCGCCUUCUUUUAAUUUGUUCUUAAAAAUAAGUGAUUGUAAGUGAUAUGUAACUUCUACUAUUUUGAAGCGAAUUGUAGCAAACCCAUAUGCUUGCAUACAUUUGCAACUCUUGGAAUUUAAUAAAGGCAAAUUCCUCCUGAGCAGCGACUAAUGACCAUCGCUUGAAGCUAAUCAGGCUGGCAUGAGGUCGGUUUCGUUUUGAUUUUGGGGAUGGGGUUUCCUUGGCCCCUCUCUGUACUUUUCCCUGCGAAAUCAUUAAUCUGCCACACUCGCUCAGACAUCAGACGUCAGUGGCAGGCAUCCACCAGAGGUUUCCCACAUCUUCCCCCUCAUCUAGCCCCAAAAAGGAACAUUAAUUUCCUCUGGUGCGCUGCUUAGGAGACAUUAUAUAGAGUACCUGGUCGAUCGAAUUCUGUGAUAGCUUUAGCUGAUUGCACACAAAACGGAUUUGCCUAGCUGCACAUCGCAAAAACCGCGCCCCGAAAAUCGUACCAAGAAUAACACAAACGAGACGAAUCUUUCGAUUCCUUUGUGGCAAUGUCUGCAAUUCGCAUUACGCAUACGCCGCGUGAGCCUGCGAAUGCUUGUUUGAUGUUUCCAACUCUGCUAUCAGUGUACAAGUGUUUAUGCUUGUGUGGGUGUGCGGUUUAAUGUGUGUGUGCUAAGUGUGUGUGUGCGUGCUUGUGUUGCUUUAUGAUGACAUGCCAAACAUUUAUGCAAAAUGCUAAUUUAAAUCCAAGUCGUGAGCUAAGGAAGUUGUUCAACUUGCUGGUACAGUGGUAGUAGGUAUAAAAUAGAGAGAUACAUUUAUAAAUUAGAGAGAUACUUUUUAACUAUACAAAAAAAAAAUGUAUUGAAUGUAUUAUCCCAUAAUCUGUUAAGCUUAUGAAUUAUUGAAUACUUUUUAUAUUCCGGUACAUGUAUAAAUGCGAUUCUGGGUUAUUAAAUUGUAUUUAUUUAAUUAAUUAUACAUCUGAAUAAGAUUUUAAACCCAAUAUUUAAGACUCUUAAUGAUAUUUAUCCACUGUACUGGUGUCUUAGGCGUAAACGCCUCUUCAUCAGCAUAACUCGUCAGGCAUGACAUUCCAGCCCCUGUACUUGGCAUCGAGUUCUGGUUGUGCUAAUGCCUGAAUGUCCGACUUACCGAAUGAAUAUGAAUAGUUAAAUAGCCGGGGAAUGAUGGACUAUCUUGGCCACACCUUUCGCUGCAUUUUGGCCAUCUUCGUUCCACUUCGCCCCAUUGGCGUGGAAAUACGAAAAUGGCUGCGACAGGAAAUUACGGCAGAUCUAAAGCCGAUAUCUCGCAUGGAUAUCUAACUGGUGCAAAUCUUGAGGGGAAAUUAGCUGCGAAAAUGCUUAAAAUUGGAAAUUUAAAUGUGAGCAGAGCGAUUGUAGUUGUUGUUGCUCAUUGUAAUUUGCUAAAGUAUUUGUGGAAUAUGAAUUGCGAGCAUUUGCAUAAAUGAAAUGUGUAUGUAAAUGUCGAGCUCGUAAUGCCAAUCAAUCACCCCAAAAAAGGGAACUCACGCACACACAUGCGGAGCAGCUCCUCCCACACGCAUACAGGCACACAAAACCAAUAAACUAAAUUCGCAAGGAGCGAAAAAAAAAACGGAAGAAGGAUGAGAAACUCGAGCAGAAAUCGUCAACAACAUACAUGAUGCAGUGGGGAGGGUCCUUUGUACGUACAUAUGUGUGUGCGUGUUUGUGUGAGUGUGCCAACCCUUAUCCUUGGCAGGAUAUUACAUGCUUCAACAAUGUUGUAGCAUUCCCAAUAACAACAACUCCGCUCAGAGCAUUCCUGCCGAAAAUGAAAUUCUGUUUUGCAUUUUAUGUCGACAUCUCCUGAACCCAAAAUGUAUAAAAAAAAAAGAAAAUAAUACAUAUAGAAAGACGAACCCGCCAAAGAAUAAAGCAGAAGGAGCUAAAAGGAGCAGGAGCAACAAGGACAUACAGCAGAAAAAAAUGAAAUCUAAACAAAAUGCGUUCGAGCGUGUGUGUUCAAUUACAAUGUGUGUGAUUGCUUGGCUCGCUAGGCAGCCGAAAAGGGGGCGCAGGGGGUGUGGCAGGACCCCGGACACACACACACACCCACACACCCGCUUUAGCAUAAAAAUUUACAAUGCGAAAUAAGCAAGCGAAACGAACGAACACAAAACGCUUUUUAUUUCAAUGUUCUUAUUUUUUUUCUGGCUGCUGGUUUUCAGGACCUCCGCAGGACCUUUAGGACCACGAGCACGGCAUCCUUAUGCAAAUAACAUCCACACUGGCACAUAAAAAUAAAAUAAUAACAAUACAAUAUUUUUUUGAUGACAGCCGCCGCCCCAGAAGAGCGUUGGCACAACAAUGCAAAUACCCCACGCAUCCCAUCUAUAUAUAUCUUCGAAUUGCGAUUUGGGUUCAAGGUCUGCCCAUCAAAGAAAGGUUUAAUCGAUAGCGAAAUUCUUGGUCUGGGUUCUCUCUUAGUGUAAAUUUCGAAGAUAUUCCUUCGACAUCAUGAAUCAUGAUGUGGUGCCAUCAAAUUUUGUUUCAUUUUUAAUGCUGCCUGGAGUUAUGAACUGAGAUGAUGCGGCGGUUAAUGGGAUCAGUAGGAUGGGAAAAGAAUCCAAUUUUUGAGUUUAUUAGUAUUUCAUUUGCUAAUAUUUUUUAGAUAAAAUUUCUUCAGGAUUUCAGCAAUUGAAGAUCUGAUGAAAAUACUUGAAUAUAUAACGAAUACAUCUACCAUUUAACAUUAUCUUUAACAAUAUACAAAAUAAUAUACCAGGUGAAAUCAGAUAUAUGAAUGCUCAUCGGGAAAUAAAUUUCAAGAGAUAAAUAAAAUUCAAGAGAUAAAUAAAUAUCAAGAAUUAAGUCUGAGCAAAAUAUUAUGUCCAGAUUUGAUGUCGUUUUCAAUUUGUAUCAAUCAUCGUUCCGGGAACAAUUAAAAAUUCUAAAAUUUCCAUCAGCAUAACUCGGCUAACUCUCUCCUGCCCUUCGAAUGCAACAAUAUAAAUAAUUAUUUUUGCAUACACAAUGUAAGGCAAACAACACGAUAAACACAGGCUGGCGCAAAGGAUGCAUGGGAAUGCGAGUGCGAGGAGAAUAAGGAGCGAAAUCACAUUUGAAUAACAAUCAUCAUGCGAGUUAUUUCAAUUGACAAGGGGGGCGGGGCCGAUCGGGGGGGCGCUGAAGAUAUUGAAAAUAUGAAAAGACACGAGAGUUGGAAAGAAAAAACACACGCGAAAUCACAAAGAAUUCAUAAUAAGCGUCAUUGUCGAUGGCAGCGAGCGGGAAAUGAAUAAAAAUCAAAGUACAUUGAGGAGUCCUGUGUGUUGACAAAGGUGAAAAAGGGUAUGAGUGGGGGGCGGGGAGAUCGAAGGACGAAUGGAGAGGGAGUAUUACUGAAGGGCACGUAUAGGAAUGUGGAAUUGAAUGUGUCGCACAGGAUGUGUGCUUUUUUAUUGUUGUAUGUGCACUACACGGGUAGAAAUAAUUUAAAAAUUUAAUUUUUAACAAUAAAAUGUUGUCAUAAGUGAGGGGUGGUCCUGUUGGAAAUGAUUAUCACUCGUCACUCAGGCAAUUCAAUAUUCUAACUACCGACUUUCCAUUUUAAAUUCCACCCACUUUAAUUUUUGCUGACCUUUAAAAUGGCCGGCCGUAAAUAUGAAUCACCCAAUUUUUUUUUUUCGACGUGUUGAAGACAUUCCCGAAGCCUGCCACCAUCUGCAUGUGUGAGUCGAGUCGAGAGCCAGCCAAAGGAUGUCGUAGCCUGGCAGGAUCCUCCGCCUGCGUGGCCUGCAUGAAUUUUGAAUGACAAUUUGCAGGCGGCAGGAGCAGCAGCAACCAAUCCCCAGAAUUCAGGCCAUUGUUCGCUUAUUGAAAUUUCAGCCAAAGGAAAACGGAACGAGCCACUUGAAUUCGCAGGAUGUGAGUGAGAAAAUAAGGACAUAGUGCCGUUGCUGUUCCGCUAUGAUGUGAUGAUGCCAGUUGACAAAUUGUGGCAGCCAGCAAGUGGCAUUUCAUUUUCAUAGCCACCAGUUGCGCUGCCAUUUGCUCAUCCUCAACAUAAUUGAUUUCAUUAAAUGCGAGGGCAAACAAGCCGAGCAACAAGUUGCCACAGGAAAAUGAGUGAAGUACGGAAAAACCACCCACUCUGCCAAUGCCCGACUGAAAGUAAAAACAAAUUAAGCUCUCACGACGGCGACGGCGAAAUAAUUGGGGGAAUUUCCGCAAAACGCCCCAGACAAGCGCAGCAAGAUGAAGAAGAGGAGGACUGAGAAAAACUGAGCCAGACACUUUGACAUAAUUUCCCCGCCAGCAGACUCUGCCACCCACCACCCCCUCAAGGACACGACCAUAACCAACCCCAACAAAGUUUUAAUUAAUUGCGCCCGAACCACACACACACACACAAAUGCCUGCUGCUAAAAGCGGGGGGAAAAUGAAAAUGAGUCAAGCUGCGAAAAGUUGGGCGUUCAUUUUCACGUACACGAGCUUCUCUUGGGUUUCCUGAAUUUUCCAAAGACACAGCAGCAGUUAAAUGGCAAAGAAAAGUAAGUGUGUGUGUGUGUGUGUUUGUGUGUGUGUGUGGGGUGUGGGCCAACGAGGUCGAAGGAGCAGCACAAUGUGGCUUAAUUUCAUUAUGUCGCUUAAGAUGUUGUUGCUGCUGCUCCUGUGGAUGUUGUCCUUGCUUGUUUGCUGGAUGCUGCUCCUGCAACUGAAAGUUCUCUUCGUCUGUUGCUCCUGGGAUUCCAAAUGUUGCUGCUGUAACUGCAGUUGCAAUUUUUAUGGUUCCUUUUUUUUUGUGGCUAAAGUUUCUUUUGCACGAAGUGCUGUCAAAAUUUGUGCAACAAAGUUAAGUUUUACUUUACAUUACUUUUGCGUCCUAGCUAGUUUGUGUAAACGCUAAUUAAUAUAACCAAUUUUAUAUGAAUAUGUAUCGAAUUGCCUUUAUGUGUUUUAAGGAUAUGCUUCUAAAAACCAAUGUUCAAAAACCAAUUUAAUAUCAAUAGCUCCUCUCUCAUUAACCAAUCCAAGGGGACUGUCAAGUGCGUUACUUGCAAAACCUGUAACAAGUAAAAAGUUUCCAGAGCGCAGUAAAUUACAAGGGAAGAGAAAAUCUCUCGAGAUAUAAAUACAUUAUAUUUCCGGCGGGCAACUUCCGGUUCCGCGCUGAAUGCGGAGAAGCUGCGUAAAAUUAUUGAAUGCAAAGCAUAAAAUCCUCAAUCAAAUUCAUGAUGCGUGAAGACGAAAGACAAAAGCGUUUCGAAUUCGCUUCAGGUAGCCAAGGAAACGAUGCCCUACAUGCGGGCCUAGAUUUUGGAUUUUAUAUGCAGAUGAGAGAUUCGUCGGGAUGUGAAAACCCAUCCCACAUCAGCCAUCUGAGCAUGAAAUGUGUAUUGAAAGUUUGGCAUAAAAGUCUAAUUAAGUGCGGACCAGAUAUCUAAAAAAAAAAAUCGCAGUAACCGAUACCAACCGCAAACACUCGAAACGUAUAGAGUUCAAUGUUUUUGCGUGGCGAGCGAUGGAAAGUCAGGUAUUGCGGUGUUUAUAUUUUUACUACCCCUAUUGUCAAUAAAAUCGGGAGUAGGCAAACAGGAGAUAGGAUGCUCUCGAAACCCUUUUUUUUAUUAUUCGCCCUUCGGGCCGCACCCAUUGUCUGAAGGCGAUUUAUUGCCGAUUUGCCCCUUUGGAUCGCAGAAAGUGCUUUUUUUUUUGGCCAGAGAGAUAGAGCAUUUAUCUGAUCUAACCCCUUUGUGAUCUGCCAUUGUCCCCCUGGCUUUCGGGCAUUAUUAUAAAUUUGCCUUUUAAUUUACGUUACGCCGAUUUCAGACAAUGCCCGGCUAUGAAUAUUCAUAAUGCCGAAUCACAACCGAACUGACAAUCGCAUGUUAAUGGGCUGGCAUAUGUUGAGGAUUCCCCUUUCCCAUUUGGCGAGUGAAUGGGGUUAGUGCUCUGAUAUCUCUGGCAAUUGCAUAAAAAUUGUUGAUUUAUGCCCGCCGAUUUCGAUUUUUCGCAAUGCCAAUAUUUCUUUAUGUCGCCGUCGCAUUUAACAACACAUUUACAUGCUGUUUUGCGUGUCCUCUAUUUUAUUAUUUUUAGAUUUUCAAUUUUACGGGUAGAAAUGAUGGGUGAAAGGGUUUCGUCAUUGAAUUGCCCAUGAAAUUUCAAGUGUUUUUCUCGAUGUCACCGAGAAUUGGGUGACUCUUUGGUAUGUUCAUCGAAUGGUUAAAGUGGUUUGCUAACAAAAAACCGGAAGACUUGUGAUAUUUUGAGUAAACAAAAUAAUAGGUAAUAGGCAAUUGAGGAUUAACAAAAGACUAUUUAUCCAUGGCACAAUUUAUUUAAUAGACAUAAGAAGGAGUAAAUGGAAUAUCCCUUUAUGAUAUAUUACUAAAAUUAUGAUUUGGCAAAUAGGUUAUCUGCUUUAUGACUAACGGAAACUAGAUGAAUGUUGUACAUUUUAUAUAGACUGGUUUUCAUUUUUUUUUAAACUCAAAAUUAUGGCCUGCAAAACUCAGAUUUGCCUCAUUUGACUACCCCAUGGAGCUUGAGCAAUGUGCAUGUUCUAACCCAUCAUCAAUACAAAAGAUUCAGCGAAAGCAAAAAGCAGCGAACCUUAAGCCGCCACAAAAUUCAGACGCCAGCUCAUCAAUCAAAUGACAGGCAGCAUUUACCAAAUUUGUCAGUUUAUAAGCCGAAUAAAAUAACCAAAUGCCACGGCGAAAAUCCCCAGCAGAACGCCUUCUAGAAAAGGAGAGACGAAGGACAGAUUGAUGUGGGCAUUACGUGACCAGUUCUCCAGUUCCCGAAAAGGGGUUUGAUCUGCUGAUUUUGAAGGCCUCUCGCUGGGUAAUUUAUGCGCCGGCGUAAACGCCUCAGCGAAAAAGUAAAAAGUGAAAAAGAACUGAGGGCCCAGGAGGCUGUUCUACCUGGUCGGAGGAUAUGCGCAUAUAGCUAUGGCUAUGGAUAUGGGCAUAGGACAACCCUCUCCAUAGCGAUUGCCCUUCGCUGAUCCGCGCUGAAUAAAUUAGAAUUUAUGCGCGAUUUGCAUGACUGAGGCAGCGAACCCUUCACAGCUGUUCUGCGAUUCCGAAGAUCCUCAGUUUGUGCGUGAAGCUCGGGCGUGUUGGUUGCCACAUCGAAAUGGUGAUGGUUCAGAUGGACAGAGAUAUACGAAAGCCGGUUUUGGCACUGCGAAAAAUUCCUGAGACUUUGAGUAGCAGAUCAAAGUAUUCAUAUGGUGAAAAAAACACAGGAUGCUGCUUAUACAAAUGUGUGCACAUUUCAUUGACUUUAAAACAUUUUCAUAAUAAAUAUAAUACUAAAGUAUCGAAAGAUAUUCAAAGCAGUGAAUUUUCUCCCAGUGAUUAAUCCCCUAUGGAAAUAGCAUUGGACUGCACGCAUGCGUGACUCCUUUACGGUCAAGUGGCAUGGCUUCGAGAGGGUUAAUGUUGGAAAAGUUGGGAAUUUCCCUCCUCAGGUUGUUCAAUAGCAGUAGCUGAAAAGUAGUGGCUGCUCCUCCACUGGUGGCCACUUCACAUGAGCCGACUCCUCAAGACCAAGUUAAUAAUAUGAAAGAAAUCACUUGGCAGCUUUGGUGCAUUGUUAAAAGUUUUUAAGCCGCGCCUCAAACAGAAAAAAAAAAAUGAAAUAAGAAAGGGAAAAGCGCCGCCUCAUAUGUGGCAAACAAAGUUAUUUGUGGUAGUGCUUUUGUGGUGCCCCUUUUCCCAUUUCCCCUCCCCGCCCUCACCAAUUUUUCCCGACAAAGGUAGUUCUCAUCGGGCGCCAGCAAACUUUGCUGUUUGCGAAACUUUUUUCUCGUCGCUUUUCCUGCAUUUUUUACACAAUUUCUUUGUUGGACCAUGGGGCUUUUUGGGGGGUGUGGACGGAAAAUACGCAGUAGCUGCGGCAGCCGCUGCGUAAAACUUUUCACUUUGACUCGACUUUAUUGUAUUUCUAAUACUUUGCCUUUCAGCCAAGUUAGUGACUUCGACGGCAGCAUGUGAACAAUGUAAGCGGCCAACGGUUGCCAAACUGUAAGCGUCCAUAAAAAUGUUUGGUCUCUGGCCACUCGAGCAGAUUGUGGAGAAAAGGGGAUAUCCCAGGGUCUUCCCGGGGAUCCCCCCAUUAGUUCACUGGGGUUCAAGUGGAGCCAAGACAGCAAUCUCACACACACAUACAGACACACACACUCUUUCGCACACAGAUUGCAGACAAUUGAAAAUUUUACAUUUUAUGACGCUGCGCAAUUUGUGGCGGUUGCCAAGACCCAGCAAAAUUCUUGAUUCUUGAAUAAGGACAAAGUUUUUGGGUGUCUUAAGGUGUCUUACCUAUCUAAAACAUGACACGCAACUUUGAAUGUGGUAAAAAGGAUAGUUAUUUAGUUAUUGAACUCAGGUAGUCUAGUAUUUAUUUCUUGAAGUGAGUACUGAUAAAAAAACUGUCGGUAUUGGCCAAAGAAACCAUCAUAUAAACUCAUAUUGUUCAGAAUAAAUUGUAUCAUUAAAAAUUCAAGAAAUCUCGUAGAAAAUCUGUAACGCUCUAUCAAAACACUUAUUCAAGAACAUUUAGAAUAUAAUAAAGAAUAAACUAAUAUUUCCCUGAUUUUUUCCCAAAACUAAAGACACCAAAUCUAAUGUAUUUCCUUGCGAGACCUUUGAUUGCCAACUAAAACUGACAUGGCAGCUCAAGUUGACAUCCUCAAAGGCUCUAAAGUUACCUUAUUUAUAUGUGCACAUAUCGGCAAUUGGAUUUGGCUACAAAUUGGGCAGACAAAGCCAGGCACAUAGGUACCACUGCGUAUUGGGAUGGCACAAAGCUCGUUUGAGGGCCUUUUGUCGCAAAGCCCAUUAAAUGUCGGGCCACCAAUUUGGCCAGGAUCUGAAUACGGCAGCAGUGGCAGCUGUAGAAACUGAACUGAACUCAACUGAAACGGAAACCCAAGCUCAAGCCGAAAUGCGAAAUACAGAAAUAGAAAGAUAUAUCGGAGGAGACAGAGAGUGUUGCCUUCUGGAUCGACUCUGCCAAAUGAAAUGUGAUGAAUUGUACGUAAUUUGGAAGGGCGACACAUUUGCAUGAGUAGGGAAAAUCGCCACCCCCUCGCCACCCCUCACCAUUCGCUACUUUUCCUCCGUUUGCCAGCUUUUCCUGAAAAUGGCAAACUGUCAGUUUGGAGUUCUUCUCGGCAGAAACUGUGCGGCACUCACAUCUCAUUAAUUUGUGAUUGAUACGCUGACUCUGAGCUCUCAUCUUGCUGGGAAAAUCCACCACCCCAUCCACAAAGUCAGCAGUGUGUUUGUGCGUAAAGCGUCACAAAUGAAAUUGAAGUGUGUUUGUGAUCCCAUUACAAAUAAGUAAAGGGAGCUUCCUUGAGGGAGGGAAGUUCUUGGGGAUGCGGGGACUCUACACAUUUGAUGGAUUUGCAUGUGCUGUGACACAAGUCACUAAAAUAUCUUAUUACACAGACACACACACACUGUGGCACAUACGGGCUAACACACACGCACACACACUCACAUGUCACAGGCAGCCAUUUUUAUUCGUAACUCAUAUAGGCCGCAUAAACAAACAGGACCCGCCAUUGGACUCAACUGUGCCUCACUUUUGCGAAAUGCACCAAAGAAAUAUUUCUUAUGCUAAGCAACAAAUUAACAAAUUUAUUGAGUGAAUGAAUUAUUUAACUAACAUUUUAUUGACUUAUUAAAUAUUUAGCAAAUUGAAUCAUUUCAUACUUCCUUGAUUACUUAUAUUUUUACUCUCAGUGUAGUUCCCACACUUUUCCUUUUUUGGUCCUGACGAAAUUGUCUCCCAUUUAUUUUUCAACUUCGAUUUUUGCCUGUCGCGCUUUGCGUACUUCCAUUUCUUUUACUUUCUUUUUGCAAAUUGACACCCUCUCACGCACGCACACACACACACGCACACACACACACACGCAAUGAGAAAGCUUGUUAGAGUGGUUGUUGUAGUUUUCCCUCUGCAUGUUUGCUUUUGUUGUUUUUAUGUCUAUCUGACUGUCAAGCUGCGGCUGCUGCUGGUUUUUUUUUCAGCAUUUUGCGCUGCCUGCUGCUCCUUCGGCAGCUUCAUCAAUGCCGGAAGCGUGAAAAUCUACAGCCGAAAGAAAGGGAAAAGUUCACAAAUGGAAAAUUACGGGUGCACACGUGCUCACACACGCUAUAUGUGUGUGUAUGUGUGUAAUAGCCACCCCCUGACCCACAACAACAACAGCGCAUAUUUUCCCAACCCCAUGAACUCAGACUCGUUUGUCAUUUCAGGUUGUUUUAUUCAAUUUCGAGGCAAGCGAAAUUCGCAAAAAAAAAAUGAAAGGCAAAAGGGAGCGCGAUGGCUGCGAAAAAAACUCUUUGAAAAUUUAACGCGCUGAAUGUCAUGCGAUAUGUCACACAUGUAGCCCAUAGACUGUUACGCCCCCUUCUCCCACAUAUAUAUUUUUAUUUUUUUUUUUGUCAAACCGCUGCCUUAUCGGCUGCCAUAUUAAUGUACUGGAAAUUUGCCAUUUUCCCUUCAUGGCUGAAAAAUAUAUGCGAAACACCCCGAAAUGGUUUGGGCACCAGAAAAGGAGCUUUUCAUUUAGUUGUCAAUGUUCUUUAAUCUUAUUUAGAGCUAAGAGCAGAAGUAAGAACCAUUAAGCAUAAAUAUCAUUUGAUAUUAAUACGUAUACGUGCAGACAAACAAGACAGUUGAGCAAAUAAAUAUAUAAUUCAAAACAGGGAACGAAGUUGCUCACUGCUAAAGUGAAGAAUAUUUGAAUUGAAUAAAAUAAUGACAAAUAAUUAAUAAACCAAAUCGAUAGAAUAUGUGAAUGCAAUAAACCGAAAAUAUUUAAAAAUACUUUAAAUGCCAAAAGCCAUAAAGCAACAACAAAUUUUUAAAUGAUUAUUGUUUUUUUUGUAUUAAUUAUAUAUAUUUUUUAUAUUUCUGAAGUCCUAGUUUUCUGAAUCGGAACAUCGUUAUGUGUGCUGACACUUUGGCAACCUUUAGCCAUUCAAUGCCAACGAUGCGUGUCCACAGUCGAUUCUAAUCAGGGAACUCCAGUCGGGCAGCAAAAGGCAACAAAAUGGAGAGCUGAAUUUCCAUUCUUUUUGUCGGUUGCACUCGAAUGAAUUUCAUUUGCGAACUGGCAGCCAUGGAAAAGGGUCAGUUUUCGGGUUUGUCCACUGCUGAUCCUUUUGUCAAUUGCCCUGGCUUUUCGAGAGUUUUCCUUUCUCCUUCUGGCUUUUCAACUACCAAGUCGGCGAAUGUCUUUUGGUGCUGCAAGAUUGGCAAAUCUGUAGAUUGAAUGACUUCUCAUAUUGUCGAUUGAUUGUCCUUGGAAAGGUAAGUGGGGUCUUUUGCUUGCCAUAAGUGAUUGUCGCGGCGAUUUUGAGAUAUUUGAGUAAUUAAAUGAGCAGUUAUUGGGAACCCAAUCAUAUUAGACUAUUGAAGUGGAAAACAAUACAAUAGGAUCUUGACAAAUGUUGACAUAUGUGUAGUUAAUGAUUACCAACGUUAAAGUAGCUUACAAUACACUUACGUUUUAAUAUAUCUAUAUAAAGCAUAAUAUAUAAUAUUUUAAACUGAUGUUUUCUUUUAGUUUAUCAACACAAAAUGUUUAAAAUUGUUUCUUUCAAUUUCUUUGGUAUCAAAUACCAUUUAUUUUCUCACUUGAAAACUUUCUCGAAUAGUUUUGUACCGAAAAUAAACCCAUUAACUUUAAUGUGUCCUUGGUGGAUCAUAAAUCUCCGGCAAACAAAUAGCAGAAUAUCCUUUUGUUUUUUUCGCCCAUUUCACUUCAACUUACCGCCCACGUAGCCCAUUAAUUUCUUGUGCCAUUUUAAUUUCGCUUUCAUUUCGGUAGACGCUGCAAGGCCAAAUGCAACAACAUCUAAGACUGCGUCUGGGGAAGCCCCGUGGAAAUGAGUUCGCAAAAGUGGGCGGUCUGGAAGGAAGUGGGAAGUGGCAAGAAAAACUGUUGCAUUAAAGGCUGGGCGGCAGUCGCUACGUCAUCGCUAUUGCUGCUGUGAAAAUGAGCCAGCUUGGUAGUUAGUCAGCGUUCGCUUUUCCUUGCUGCUGUGCUCCGCUUGUUUCAUUUCAUUUAUUUCAGCCCGUUGCCGGUAGAAUUUCCACAGCUUUUCCGCCGAACCCCACACCCCCUCCCCCCGUUUCAUUUUCCUCUUCUGGGGGCUAUAAUUUCAUUCGCCCAUUAAAAAUAUACUUUGCAACCCACUCGGAGCGGAGUUGUUGUUGCUGCUGCUCCUGAUGCUGCUGCUUUUGGUGUUGCACGUUGCUCUGCCAUCGUCCUGCGUCGACGUCGUCGUUCGUUAGUUUGUUUUUGGGGCCAAAGCCGCAAGAGAGCGCGGCCCACAUUUCCGCACCCGGCAAAAGAAUGGCACACAGGCACGGAGAAAAAUGUAGGAAAUAGAUUUCAAUGAAUGCUUAAAAAGGUUAAAAAAAAAGUUCAUAUGUCUUAGGCAAUCAUACUUAAACGUUUUUAUGGUAUAGUUUUUAUAGCAUCAGUAAUGCCAAGCUUUUAAAAUACUAUUAUACGAAUUGAUAACAUACGACUUCGAUUUUCAAUUAACUAUUAUAAGCACCAAACAUUAAAUGGCAAGUUAAACGAAUUAAAAUCUUUUAUUCCCACACACUCCCUUUUUAAUUUAAGAGCUAAUUACAACUUUAUUGGAUCCCCAAAAUUUUAUCGCCGUGUGGUAAUGAGAGUUUUUCCAACUGAACCUCGCUGCGCAGCCGACUGCGCUGCCUCUGCUGGCGUUGGUGUGGGUGCUGCGCUCAUUUUCAUUUUCAUUUUCGUUGAUGAGAUAAUGGUUUCGGUGUCUCUGUUUUUCCUCUCGCUGGAAAACCAUGAUGAUGAUGAAGCUGCCGGGAGUGAAUUAUUUUAAAUGUGGGUUUCAAGGUCAAGGUGACGGCGGUUAUUGUUUUGCUUUUCGCGCUGCCGGCGUCGCCGUUGUUUCGCUGCUGCGUUCAUUAAGCGCCGGCAGCGACGUCGGUUUUUCCUGCUUCCACUUUUCUUGUUUGUAUUUUCUUUUUUCUUGAUUAGCAUAAUGAAGAGGUGAAUGAACCGGCGUUGGUGAAUCAACUGGUGGUUGUUGUUGCCCCGCUGUUAAUUAUCAUUUGUCUCUUAUUUGCUGAGAAUUUUUUGCGUUGAUUUCGCUUUUGGCCCGAGGAAAAGUAUUGCCUACUUGGAGGCGCCAUUUGCCGGGGAAAUUCUCCCAGGGCGCAUUCGAUAAAAUUGCGAAAAUUGCUGAGGGGCGAGAAGGGAGCGAAAGGGAGUGGAAGCGUCGAACGUCGACGACGCACAUCAAAAUAUGCAAAUUGGAAUUUCAAAAAUACAGCAAUAUUGCUGAAGCCUUCAGCUUCCACUCCACAUCUCCAGCUUCUGCCACCCCAUUUCCGCCACCCUCCUUCAAGCACCCAGCCACCCCAUCACCCCAGGCACAUACUUUUGUAUGUGUACACAGAUAUCUAUCUGACAGUAGUCACUCCAACAGAUAACAGUGAACUAUCAUUUCGGGAAACCACACUUAAGUAAUCUAUUACUGAUCUUAGAUGGGAGUUAAUUGUAUUAGCCACUUUACAUUUGUCGAAUUAAAUAACUAAUAUUAAAGAAAUUAUUUUGAAAGAGGAGUAAGCAAGACAAUUAAUGUAUGAUUUAUAAGGACAAUGAAUUAAUAUAGUAUAAAUUUAUUAAACAACUGAAUCAAAUAUAUUAUAUUUUUGAAACUAAUGUAUGUUCAAAGAAGAUUAAAUUUUUUAUAAUCUAAUAUCUAAUUUAUUUAUAAUCAUAUAGAUUUUUAUUUUUGUAAAUUUCUUUAUUUCAAACUUCCCAACUUCAUAGCAAAGCUAUCUAUAUAGUUAACCCGAUUUUUGGGCGCAUGCAAAUUUCGUCGCCCUGCGGCUGCGACGUCGCUGCCAGCGUCGCUGUUUGCGGAACAGAGACAGACAUAGAGAGCGAGCGAGAUGGCAUUGGAGCGGGUGGUGCGGGUGUAGAGAGCUCGACAGCCAUUAUUCGCCUUUGGCCUUUGGUGCUCUGCUUCUGUUUUCCGCAGCAGGGGAAAAUUCUCAGCCCGACAGCGACGCCGGCAGUGACGUCGGCGUUUUUCGACCAGUGCGCAUGCGCGCUGCCUUACGCUAUCUUGCAUCUCGUUCGCACUCGCUCGUCACCAAUAGCAACCCCUGAAAAGCGGCGCUGUCGCUGUGUUUCAUUUCCCAGGCGUUUGCAGCGGGAAAUCGUGAGAAAAUUGUGGUGAGGGGAAUGUUUCGGCAUUCGGCACGAGGAAAUUAACGCCGGGUAAUGAAUGAAAAUGAAAAUGAGAAACAAAGACGGGCGAGAAAAAUUACCCAAAAUGAAGUUUUUCCAGCAGCGGCAAGUGCAGUGCAGCAACUGCGACGCUGGAGAAGCAGUCGGGAAAAGCCACAGGAAAAUCGGCAGCAUAUUUAAUGACGUAAUGCGGCGUCGACGUCGCCGCCGCUGCUUCUGCCAGCAAUUAGGCAACAGUUAAAUUAAACGGGUUUCUAGUUCAAGGACACGACCCAGCGACGACGUGCCGGCGCAACAACAAUAACAAGGGGGGGAAAAUGAGUGGGCGAUUGGGUGGUGCGGUGGGGAUUCGGUUGCGUUGUCUGGAAGGCAGCCGUCCUUGCUCUGUUUUUAAUUGAGAUACAGAGAUGUUGGGCUAAAGUGGUGGGAAUUUUCGGGUUUGUUUUGGGCUUCCUUUGCGUUUUCCUCAUGGCUUGAAAACUCAUUGGACUACCACAACGUAAAAUCAAUGGUUAAGGAAUUUGAAGUGCUUAAUUAACAACAAAUACGCAAUUAAAAAUUCAAAAUAACUCGGUUACGUUUGUUUCAUAUCUAUUUAUAAAUAAUAUUUAUAUUUCAGUUUGCAAUUACAGCCCGUUUAAAACGUACUCUAUUAGCUAUAUUUAUUCAUUUAAAAUUUAACUUCUAAUUGAUUAAUUGGUCGUUUACAAUUAUUAUUUGUGCUCGUCAAGUUAAGACUUCUUCAAAUCUUUAAGCUAAUCAUUCUUAUAAUUGGUUUAUCCUUAUUAGUCUUCUAACAAAUACCUACGUUGAAUGUCCUUUCCCUGUGCUCUCUCUAAUUUUCCCACCUCUUAUCCUUACUCACAAUUUGUUAGCCGGCAACACGUGCUUUUUGGCCAUUGCGAAACACCGGCAACGACCCGACGCUCAUUUUCAUUUGUGCGAUUUUCAUUUUCAUUCAUUGCGCCCACACCAGCGCACAGCUGCCUGGCUUUCCCCUCUCCAUUUCCCACCUCAUUUUCCAUUUACCAUUUUCCACCCGCUCUCGCCACUCUCCACGGUUAAUGACGAUGCCAGCAAACAGCUGAUGACGACGCCGCUGUUCAUUUUCUUUUUAAUUUUCCGCGACUUGUUUUGCGCGCUCUCCUCGCCUUUAUUUUUAUCGCCAGAUUCGCGGCCGGCGGGAAAACAGCUGUUCAUUAGAAGGAAAAGCGAGGGAAAUUAGCGCUCAAAAGAGUUGAGUUGCCAAGUUGUUUUCCCGCUUAAUUGUGAGCGGAAGAGCAAGGAUAUCGAUUGUUUUUUUAGGUGGUAAAGUAAAGAAGUGGGCGAUGCGAAAACUUCACCAAGAAAAAAAUGGGUUUCUCAAUAAAACAGAAAAAAAUAUUAGAUACUAGUAUCAAUAAAUGUAAUAUCAAUUAUGUUCUCAAAAUGUUUAAAUUAAUAAAUUGUAAUGAUUUUAAAUAUAUUUAAUGUAAAUAUCUUAAAAAUAGUUUUCUUGUAAGGAUCACCAUAAUUUUAGAUAUGUAUGCUGCUGACUUAAUCCUAUUUUUCUGGAUACCCAAUUCAGAAAAGGGGAGGGAGAAAAAAGCCUCUGAGCUGAGCCCGUCCAACAAUUGCAACAUAAAAAUGUAUAAGUAUGCAUAAAAGAAUUUUCCUUUUCUUACGCUUUUCCUCCACGUUUUCCCCCUUUUCUUUCCAACAGCUUGCCUCUUGGCUCGUCGUGGAGGACGUUUUACAUAUAUUUUUAUGAGAUAAAAUAGAAAAUUUUGUUAUCAGGCAGAAGCGGCAGAAAAGGAUAUAAAGCAGCGGCACACACACACACAGGAGAACACACAUUCUAACACAUACACACAUGGACACAAAGGCCCCACUUGAAAUGGCAGAAACUCCUCCCCUUCUGUCAAACCAUCACCAUCAACCGCACUGAGUUGCCAGUGCCAACGGAAAAUGUCUUCGGUUUGAGUGCUUUUCCGGGGAAAAUGUAAUUUUCUCAUGGCAGCCAACAACCUUCGCUGUUCGUUCUCGAUUCUCGCUUUUCCCCAGACCGUUUCUCUUGCCCGCUUUUCCAGAACGGAGCGUCGAACGUGGCGCGAUUGAAGUGUCGGUCGGGUACCUAGGCGAGAAAGGAAACUUAAAGGAUGCUCACAGCGAGCGCUUUUCCCACUGAAGAGCAGAGUCCCCCAUCUUGACAGUUUCCUGUUGCCCUUUUUCGCUAGCGCCUUGCGAAUUGCUCACGCUUGCCAAGUGUGUGCUUACGUCGGUGUGUGUGUGCACUGCAAUAAAAUGCGUAGCCCACAUAUAAUAAUUAUUUGAAUGCAGAAUUUUUAAGUCUUACAUUCAUAGCAGAUUUUGCAGUAAUAAGUACCAACUUAAAUUGGUUAUAAAGCUCUUAAUGUAUAAGUAAUCCAAAUAUUUAAGCACCAACUGCGAAAAAAAAAACUUAAACAAUUUAAACGUUAAUACAUUUUUAAUAAAUAAAUAAAAAUAUAAAUAUUUAAGAAUGUUUUUUUUUGG
rnacentral:lncRNA from 1 species